GAACGCUGGCGGCGUGCCUAACACAUGCAAGUCGAACGAGAAACCCCGACUUCGGUUGGGGGAGUAAAGUGGCGCACGGGUGAGUAACGCGUGGGCAACCUACCCCUAAAUCUGGGAUAACUUCGCGAAAGCGUUGCUAAUACCGGAUGUUGUUCCUAGAGUUGUGGCUCAAGGAAUUAAAGGUGACCUCUUCAUGAAAGUUGCCGUUUAGGGAUGGGCCCGCGUACCAUUAGCUUGUUGGUGAGGUAACGGCUCACCAAGCUACGAUGAUUAGCUGGUCUGAGAGGAUGAUCAGCCACACUGGAACUGGAACACGGUCCAGACUCCUACGGGAGGCAGCAGUGAGGAAUUUUGCGCAAUGGGGGAAACCCUGACGCAGCAACGCCGCGUGAGUGAAGAAGGCUUUCGAGUCGUAAAGCUCUGUCAAGUGGGAAAAAACGUCUUCGAUUAAUAGUCGGAGAAAUUGAUGGUACCACUGGAGGAAGCACCGGCUAACUCCGUGCCAGCAGCCGCGGUAAUACGGAGGGUGCGAGCGUUGUUCGGAAUUACUGGGCGUAAAGAGCGUGUAGGCGGGUCGGUAAGUCAGAUGUGAAAGCCCUGGGCUCAACCCGGGAAGUGCAUUUGAAACUGCCAGCCUGGAGUAUGGGAGAGGAGAGUGGAACUCCGAGUGUAGAGGUGAAAUUCGUAGAUAUUCGGAGGAACACCCGUGGCGAAGGCGACUCUCUGGACCAAUACUGACGCUGAGACGCGAAAGCGUGGGGAGCAAACAGGAUUAGAUACCCUGGUAGUCCACGCCGUAAACGAUGAGAACUAGGUGUAGCGGGUAUUGACCCCUGCUGUGCCGAAGCUAACGCAUUAAGUUCUCCGCCUGGGGAGUACGGCCGCAAGGCUAAAACUCAAAGGAAUUGACGGGGGCCCGCACAAGCGGUGGAGCAUGUGGUUUAAUUCGACGCAACGCGAAGAACCUUACCUGAGUUUGACAUCCUUUGACCGCCUAGGAAACUAGGCUUUCCCGAUUCUGUCGGGACAGAGUGACGGGUGCUGCAUGGCUGUCGUCAGCUCGUGUCGUGAGAUGUUGGGUUAAGUCCCGCAACGAGCGUAACCCUUGUCUUUAGUUGCCAGUAUUAAGUUAGGCACUCUAAAGAGACUGCCUCGGUUAACGGGGAGGAAGGUGGGGAUGACGUCAAGUCCUCAUGGCCUUUAUACCCAGGGCUACACACGUGCUACAAUGGGCUGUACAAAGGGUUGCUAACCCGCGAGGGUACGCUAAUCCCAAAAAGCAGUUCUCAGUUCGGAUUGGAGUCUGCAACUCGACUUCAUGAAGUUGGAAUCGCUAGUAAUCGUGGAUCAGCAUGCCACGGUGAAUACGUUCCCGGGCCUUGUACAC
rnacentral:rRNA from 1 species